CUCGUAGGCGGCCAACUAAGUCAUACGUGAAAUCCCUCAGCUUAACUGGGGAACUGCGUGUGAUACUGGAUGGCUUGGAUUUGGGAGAGGGAUGCGGAAUUCCAGGUGUAGCGGUGAAAUGCGUAGAUAUCUGGAGGAACACCGGUGGCGAAGGCGGCAUCCUGGACCAAUAUUGACGCUGAGGAGCGAAAGCCAGGGAGCAAAC
rnacentral:rRNA from 1 species